rnacentral:lncRNA from 1 species
UGAUCUUGAACUCUUGACCUCGUGAUCCACCCGCCCUCUUUCUUUUGCAGUGCUUGCUGCGCUUCUAGAGUUCUCCUAGAGGGUGCAGGUUUCAAGGUAGCAGACACACCCAUUUGGGUUGCUUUUUUAUGUUUUUCAUACGACAUAUUUCCAGAUACAUCAGUAAAGAUGCUGUGGAAAAAUUUCUGAAAGGGGCAGUAUAGAAAACACCAACACCAGUGGGAGUAGAGCUGGGAAGGAGGACCGUGAUGGUAAGAACACCAAGGAAUCCCAGCCUUAUUCAUUCUCCCUUCGAACAAGAGCUUAGCUGAACACAGGAAAAACAGAGGUCUGAAGCGCUGAGUCUGAAGGAUGCCCCCAGAGCUUUGAGGGCUCUGCUGUAGCAUCUUUAUCUUUGAGCAUCCUCCACCACGGACACCUGGUGAUCCCCUAAACAUGCACAGGACCUGAGCCAGGUGCAGCGCCCAGAACGCUGCAGGGGCCCUCAGCACUGGGGAUACAGCCUUCCUGCCCCACCUGCUGGCUCUCUGCCUUAUUACAUGUUACCAUUUCAAUCAUGGCUAAAUAUAUUCAUACACAUCUUAUAUGAAUGUAUAUAAAUGCCUUGAAAGAUUGCAAAGACAACAAAAGAUUAAAAGUCAUUUUCUCUAUGUGGUAGGAUUAAGGGGGCUUUUCACUUUUUAAUGUUGUUAUGUUUGUUAAAUUAUCUACAAUUAAGUGCAUCAUUGUGUAAUCAGUAAAAAAUUAAUCCAAGUAGUCUUCCAAUUAAAAAAUUAUUAUUCUAUGAUUCAUCCUGGCAUUUUGAUGGCCUUAUUUUUACAUUUAUAUUUUUGAGCCUUCUGGAUUUUAGUUUAAGGACAGUUAUAGAUCUGCUGUUUUCUUUUUCCAGAUAACUAGUUGUUGCGACCUUUAGCAACCUAAAUGUCCAUCAAUAGGCAUCUCAUUAAAUAAAUUAUGCUCCAUACGGACACAAAUAAAGGAACAAUAGACACCAGGCCUACUUGAGGGAGGAGGGUGGGAGGAGGGUGAGGAUUGAAAACCUACCUAUCAGGUACUACGCUUACUACCUGGGUGACAAAAUAAUCUAUACACCAAACCCCCACAACAUGCAAUUUUCCUAUAGAACAAACCUGCACAUGUACCCCUGAACAUAAAAUAAAAGUUAAAAAACAAAUACAGGCUGGGCGCAGUGGCUCACGCCUGUAAUCCCAGCACUUUGGGAGGUCGAGGUGGGCGGAUCAUGAGGUCAGGAGAUGGAGACCGUCUU